rnacentral:tRNA from 2 species
UUUGGGGGUCGGCUAAUGGGAGGCUACCUGCCUUUGAAGCAGGAGGUGAAGGUUCGAUUCCUUCUCCCCAAAA